rnacentral:rRNA from 1 species
GACGUAGGGCGCGAGCGUUGUCCGGAUUUAUUGGGCGUAAAGAGCUCGUAGGCGGCUCAUUGCGUCAACCGUGAAAACCAGCAGCUCAACUGUUGGCUUGCGGUUGAUACGGGUGGGCUGGAGUUCGGUAGGGGAGACUGGAAUUCCUGGUGUAGCGGUGAAAUGCGCAGAUAUCAGGAGGAACACCCGUAGCGAAGGCGGCACUCUGGGCCGAUACUGACACUGAGGAGCGAAAGCGUGGGGAGCGAACAGG